rnacentral:rRNA from 1 species
AGCCAUGCAUGUCUAAGUAUAAGCAAUUAUACAGCGAAACUGCGAAUGGCUCAUUAUAUAAGUUAUCGUUUAUUUGAUAGUACCUUACUACUUGGAUAACCGUGGUAAUUCUAGAGCUAAUACAUGCUGAAAAUCCCGACUUCGGAAGGGAGGUAUUUAUUAGAUUAAAAACCAAUGCCCUCUGGGCUCCUUGGUGAUUCAUAAUAACUUUUCGAAUCGCACGGCCUUGCGCCGGCGAUGGUUCAUUCAAAUUUCUUCCCUAUCAACUUUCGAUGUUUGGGUAUUGGCCAAACAUGGUCGCAACGGGUAACGGAGGGUUAGGGCUCGACCCCGGAGAAGGAGCCUGAGAAACGGCUACUACAUCCAAGGAAGGCAGCAGGCGCGCAAAUUACCCAAUCCCGAUUCGGGGAGGUAGUGACAAUAAAUACUGAUACAGGGCUCUUUUGGGUCUUGUAAUUGGAAUGAGUACAAUUUAAAUCUCUUAACGAGGAACAAUUGGAGGGCAAGUCUGGUGCCAGCAGCCGCGGUAAUUCCAGCUCCAAUAGCGUAUAUUAAAGUUGUUGUGGUUAAAAAGCUCGUAAUUGAACCUUGGGCCUGGCUGGCCGGUCCGCCUCACCGCGUGUACUGGUCCGGCCGGGCCUUUCCCUCUGUGGAACCUCAUGCCCUUCACUGGGUGUGGCGGGGAAACAGGACUUUUACUUUGAAAAAAUUAGAGUGCUCCAGGCAGGCCUAUGCUCGAAUACAUUAGCAUGGAAUAAUAAAAUAGGACGCGUGGUUCUAUUUUGUUGGUUUCUAGGACCGCCGUAAUGAUUAAUAGGGACAGUCGGGGGCAUCAGUAUUCAAUUGUCAGAGGUGAAAUUCUUGGAUUUAUUGAAGACUAACUACUGCGAAAGCAUUUGCCAAGGAUGUUUUCAUUAAUCAGGAACGAAAGUUAGGGGAUCGAAGACGAUCAGAUACCGUCGUAGUCUUAACCAUAAACUAUGCCGACUAGGGAUCGGACGAUGUUAUUUUUUGACGCGUUCGGCACCUUACGAGAAAUCAAAGUGCUUGGGCUCCAGGGGGAGUAUGGUCGCAAGGCUGAAACUUAAAGAAAUUGACGGAAGGGCACCACCAGGG